UAGGGAAUCUUCCACAAUGGACGAAAGUCUGAUGGAGCAACGCCGCGUGAGUGAAGAAGGGUUUCGGCUCGUAAAACUCUGUUGUUAAAGAAGAACAUAUCUGAGAGUAACUGUUCAGGUAUUGACGGUAUUUAACCAGAAAGCCACGGCUAACUACGUUCCAGCAGCCGCGGUAAUAAGCAGGUGGCAAGCGUUGUCCGGAUUUAUUGGGCGUAAAGCGAGCGCAGGCGGUUUUAUAAGUCUGAUGUGAAAGCCUUCGGCUCAACCGAAGAAGUGCAUCGGAAACUGGGAAACUUGAGUGCAGAAGAGGACAGUGGAACUCCAUGUGCAGCGGUGAAAUGCGUAGAUAUAUGGAAGAACACCAGUGGCGAAGGCGGCUGUCUGGUCUGUAACUGACGCUGAGGCUCGAAAGUAUGGGUAGCAAACAGG
rnacentral:rRNA from 1 species